UUCAGAAGAAACUGAGGAUGAAAACAUGGGUUAGUUCCAACUUGAGCAAGGAAAAAUACUGAGAAAUAAUCCCAUUGAUUAUGGGCAGAUGGUAUAAAGUUAGCAAAAGAGAGAAAGGAAAUAGGAAUCCCCUAUUUUAUUUCUGUCCUCCCUGUCAAAAAGAAUGAUCUUCAGCCUGCAAAGAGUGGAAAAUAUAUUGGGUACGGGGAAAUUGAAACUGAAAGAUAAGUGAACAGAUUGUAAGAGAGUAUCCAGCUUCUCAAAAUGAAUCCACUUUUCUGGACCCAGAUGAACUGUUCCAAGGUACUGAGAGAACUUGUCGGAGAGAGCCCUUGGCUACCAUCAAUAAUCAUUAAGGAGAUAGUAGAGAAGAAUAAAUGUUAUCCUGGUUUUAAAAAGUUUCAGAAUGUGCCUUCAACAAACCACAUACCAUGUGUGGACACAGAGAAAAGAUGGCCAUCUUCAAGCCAGGAAGAAAGGUCUCAGCAGAAAUCAACUCCAGUGGCAACUUGAUCUUGAAUUUGCAGCCUCCAGACUCUGAAAAAAUAAAUUUCUGUUGUUUCAGCACCCAA